rnacentral:rRNA from 1 species
UACGUAGGUCCCGAGCGUUGUCCGGAUUUAUUGGGCGUAAAGCGAGCGCAGGUGGUUUAUUAAGUCUGGUGUAAAAGGCAGUGGCUCAACCAUUGUAUGCAUUGGAAACUGGUAGACUUGAGUGCAGGAGAGGAGAGUGGAAUUCUAUGUGUAGCGGUGAAAUGCGUAGAUAUAUGGAGGAACACCGGUGGCGAAAGCGGCUCUCAGGCCUGUAACUGACACUGAGGCUCGAAAGCGUGGGGAGCAAACAGG